UGGAAGAGUCUGCUGGCGGGAAGGGAGAAGAGUGGGAGGAGGAAAUAAGCAACAGGCAGCUUCCUUUCUUGACAGAUGGAAAAUAAAGGGCCUGUGCACAGCUCGGCGAACUGCUCCGUGGACCUCCCAGCGGGGCUGCUUUCUGAGGUGAUGGUCUCCUCGCUCCUUAGCCAGCCUGGUGGAGCCAGCUACUGACGUUGGAAAGGAGUUGGAGGAUGGAGCACCAGAUACUGCUACACCAUCUCAUUGGCAUGGACCUAUAUGUGGCAGCAAGUCCAUCUCAUCGCUUUUGGUGAAAGUCAGUCCAGUUUGUAAAGAUUCUCAUUGCCUUGGAAAGUGUUCCAGAAAUGGACUUUUUGCAGUAUGAUGACCUGCAAAAGCAGCCCUUCCAUUUACGUUUCAAACUCCAAGUCAGCCGUGUCAAAGUUUGAACCAGGACUGUGGAGGAUAAUGGGUCAGAUGCAAUUAGCAGCCCAGAGAACCGCACGUUGCAGUCUGAUUUAUUUUUUUGCCCAUCAGAUUCCAAGAAUCCUAGUGCUUAAAAGCAACUAAACAAUCGCUCUAUUGUACUGAAAUAAAGCCCGGUUAAUUCAGAAAUCAAUUGCACCACCAGGUGGGGCACACUCUGGCCCCAAACAGAUGGGGUUGAAAACUCCCCCCAAAAUGCAGUCUUGUUAAAUUAAAAACUUGAUCCAGGAGUGGAACAAAUAGGGAGCCAUGAAUGGAAUGGAGUCAGGUCCACUCAGGCGGAUUCUUUCUUCUCCCACUCCUUUUCCUUUAAAAAAGAAAAAUUCCCCAUUUCACUUUCAUCAGUGUUAGCAUCUAUGCAGAAACGCAGCCAUCCACCCUUUGCAGUUGAAUGUGUUACUUUAAUUAGUCUGAAAAUUAAAGGGCAACUCUGGGCCAAUGUGAAUGAUUAUGAAAAUACAUGUGCAUCCCAUGCAAUCUUCUCAUUUAAUUAAUAGUCUUGUAAACUAUAUGGCUCACUUUAAGUCAGUCAAGAGGUAUAACAACUCCAUUUUAAAUAUCCACUUAAUACUUAACAGGAUGUGAGGAACACACUAUAGCAUACGGUCCCUUCUCAAGUUUCACUGUCUGAAAUUUUUCAAAGCUGACCCAAGUCAACCCGAAAAAUGUUUAACACCCUGGGCUUGAACACAAGAAACUCUGUGAUGAACAGACAUUCAAUUACAUUUUUUAAAAGUGAGAAGCAUUUUUGUAAAAUAGCGACUCUGGAAACUAAUUGGCAGCCGCAAAACUUGUGAGCAAAGGCCAAAUCUUGUGGGGAACUUUUACUACAGUAACACGACUCAAAGAAAAUGUGAAUAAAAGGCAUCUUUGUUUCCCAGUCAAAUUAGCUGAUUAAGAAAUAAAACAUCUUAACAUGUU
rnacentral:lncRNA from 1 species